CCUGACGUAUUUUGUUCAGAGGAGCACAUAAAUCCUAACCUGCCAUUUGCAGCUUAAACCUUGGGAGUGUGAAACCAGUGGGUUAAAGUUUCCAGUGAUAGCAGCAAACGGUGUUUUAAAGAGUUGUUCUCCUGACUCUUGGGGACUUGGGCACUUGGGCUGAGCCAUGAAUCAGGUGGCCCUGAAGGAUUUAUGGGCAUUAAGCUCUCUUUUUGGUAUCGUUUAGCUCUGAAGUUUGAAGUCAUAAAUGUGGAAAUUGAGACCUCUCCACUGUUCCGGUGUUUUUCUAUUUAAGGUGUUCUGAAAAAUUGUAGCAACAUCUUUAUUGGGUGCUCUGAAGUGAGAAACAAGGAGAGGUGCAGAAGGCCGUUACUUGCAGAGUCUGAUCCUGCAGCUCCAAACUGCAUAAGCCCACGCAUGAGAGGAUGAAGCACUUGUGCAAAGCGAACUCUGGAUCUAUUUAUCAAGGCUGUAAGACUGUAAUGCCCCUGCUAUUUGCAGCUGCAUAUGUCUGGGUGCUACAGGAAUACGAUUUGAAGUUAACCAAAAGACUUUCCAGUCUUGAAGUUUUGAAUGUGAACCACCGAAGAACAGCUAUGGAUAGAAGCACCUACUCUGCACUAAAGGCAAUUUGGUCAAUCACAAGAAAUGGAGCAGUUCCUGGGCAUGCCAUAAUAGCAUAAUAAUGUUGGUAUUCAUCUUCUUCCUCUUUGCAGAGCUCUGAGAUGCACCGGCCUGCUGAGCAGCAAUGAGCCUGUUGUAAAGGUAAGCACAAACACGAGUACAUGAAUCCAGCCCUAGGACUUAAUGGUUCUGGACCCUUUCCCCCAGGAAAUUCAGAUCUUCAUAGAAUCAUAGAAUGGCCUGGGUUGAAAAGGACCACAAUGAUCAUCUAGUUUCAAGCCCCUGCCAUGGGCAGGGUAGCCAACCACCAGACCAGGAAGCCCAGAGCCACAUUCAGCACUGACUCUUCCAGCCCCUGCAGGAUGAUCUGGGUGACAACAGCACCGUAGUUGCCAUGUGAUGGACUUAUUUAGAUCUGUGCUCUGGAAAUGAUGGAGGUCCACAUUCUCCAUGGCAUUGAGAAGGACUUCUGCAGACAAGAGGAAUGAUCUCCACUAGAGAUGACUCAGUAUCUGCAAGGUAUUGUGGCAUUCUUCUGUUUGCAAAUGGAGACUACUUUAGCUCAACCAGUUUUCAAGUCAUGGGCAUUUGAGAGCUCACACUGAAACCAAUGAGAAAAUAUAAACACCGAAAUGUUAACCCAUGAGUGACCUCUGAAACAGCCACCCGGGGAAUGCGGAGCUUGAAAAACUUCUUUUUGUGGCACUUCUGUGGGUGAUUUGUUUGCGAAGAGUGGUGAUGCACAGAUGCCUGUGCACGUUUAUGGCUCCGAAAUGAAAGUCAUGGCAGCUGGGAAAGCGCUGGCGACCGGAGGCUCCUUGGCUGUGCCGUUGUGUUAUCAGCUCCGUGGCUGUGCAGGGAAUGGCACUGUGUGUGGUGGGAAGUUUUGAAAAUGAUUUUCAUCAGCAUGAUUAAAUACUUAUUACAUGAGUCAGCCAUACGGGCUUCAUUAAGCCAGUGAACUCGGAGGAGCCUCCUCAUCUGUUUAUGAAAGCCAUCUGGAAGCACGGGUCGCUCAGAAGAAAUAGGAUGGAUGGAGCGCGGUGUGACAGGAGCUGAGCUCCCCUCAUGGAAGCCACCCCAACCCAACGUGCUCUCCUCUUUCUGUACAUUUCUGGGCAAAGAAUCGAGGCCUGAGAUAACUCAGGCAGCAGAACUUUAAAUGCAGCCUGUCGGGAUGUGACACAGGCACCUUGUUCUGGUGGCAGGAUAUAACACGGCUUUAAAAAUAUAGAGUUACAGAUGGGGUGGAAAAUCUGAGCUGGUCUGGCCCGAAGCCUAUCCCGGAUCUGGAUUCUCCUUCUCUCUCAGACAGCACGUGAAGUUCUGCUCUGCUUUGCGGUACAGAAAAAUGAGAUACCCCACUUCUGAUUGCUGGAGCUGGGGUGGAGCUGAUGCAUAAAGCAAAGCAGCAUGCAUAGAAGCAGGCCAGAAAGGGAAAGAGAUCAGUGAGAAACUCCUUCUAGGGAAUCAGGAAAAGACAACAGCAGAGGGUAGCGAAUUGGUUUUGCCCAGAAGCAUUUCAGUCCUAAAGCAAAUCCAGAAACCGCUGUGUUUAAACUGGAAAAUGCUGAAUUCUGGAGAGCCACAAGGAACAGACACUGCUAACAGAAUCUGUUGGAGACCUUACUGUCCACUUGAGACCUCCAGAGAACCUCAGAGACACUCCAAUUAGCAGGAAUACUCUCUGCAGAGAUCCAAGCUUUCGUGUCAUAGAAUCAGAGAAUGGCUUGUGUUGGAAGAGACCUCAAAGACCAUCUACUUCCAAACCCCCUGCCAC
ensembl:lncRNA